rnacentral:rRNA from 1 species
UACGAAGGGUGCAAGCGUUAAUCGGAAUUACUGGGCGUAAAUCGCGCGUAGGUGGUUCGUUAAGUUAGGAGUGAAAGCCCCGGGCUCAACCUGGGAAUUGCUUCUAAAACUGGCGAGCUAGAGUAUGGUAGAGGGUGGUGGAAUUUCCUGUGUAGCGGUGAAAUGCGUAGAUAUAGGAAGGAACAUCAGUGGCGAAGGCGACCACCUGGACUGAUACUGACACUGAGGUGCGAAAGCGUGGGGAGCAAACAGGAUUAGAUACCCCUGUAGUCCCU